rnacentral:tRNA from 2 species
ACUUUCAAAGGAUAAUAGCAAUCCAAUGGUCUUAGGAGCCACGCAUCUUGGUGCAAAUCCAAGUGAAAGUA